ACAAACGCAGUGAAGGGAAUCCGGUUCUGUGUCCGAUGCAGCAGAGAACUGCCGGUUGGUGCAAGGCAGCGCAGCAGCAGAAUCAUCUCAUCCCGGAGCGGGACGCUGAAGCAGUGGUGAGUAGGCGUUUCCGGGUGCUCCCGUUACAGAGCAGAAAGCGGGCGGCAAUGCCGUCAAAAAGAGUGGUACCGUGGAGCAGCGCUUCACCUCUUUU
rnacentral:ncRNA from 1 species